AUAUGCAAAACAAUAAUAUAUCUAGAAAUGGAACGAUACAGAAAAGAUUAGCAUGGCCCUUGCGCAAGAAUGACACGCACAAAUCGAGAAAUGGUCCAAUUGUUU